CACACAGUCUAUGGGAUAGCAGCUGGACAAACAUCCAUGUUUUGUGGACUUUUACCAGAUCAGGCUUGGCAGUGAAUUUCUGAGCAGAUAAGCAUAAGAACAAAAUAUCGCUACAUUAAAAACAGACAUUCGGAGUGUGAGUUUGCACUGAUUUUUCUUUAUUUCCUUUAAACAGAAAACUAGUCAAAUAUUGUAUUAUUAGUAGAGACAUUUUGACAAUUAUGUCUUGUAUGGACUGAGACUGUAUAUCUGUUAAAGAAUGUUUGUGUAUCAUGGCCUGUGAAGACCUCACAUCCUGUCUAGCACAUACAGUGGAUUGCAUAAGUAUUCACCCCCCCUUCACUUCACAUUUUGUAGUAUUUCAUACUGUGACUAAGAUGGACUGAAUUUCAACGAUCUCCACACUGUAGCACAACAUACUGUAAUAGAGGAAAAAUCAAUAUGAUUUGCAAAGGUAUUUACCAGUAAAGAAAGUUAAAGGUAGUUACUGCACAAUUAUUCACCCCCUUUCUUGAUCUAGUGCGGUUGCCCUCAGAAGUCAGUUAAUAGUUAAAUGGAAUUGAAAUGUGUGUAAUUAAAGUGUCAUGUGUCAAGUUUCAGGACAGUUUAUAUACACCUGGAUCUGGAAGAUCUCGGAGUAGGUUAGAAAACAUACCUGUACACACAGCUACCUAAUCACUUCCAGGACAAAGUUCUGCCAAAGCAUCGAUCACGUUCCUGCUAUAAACGUAUACAAAAUAUUUAACAUCCCAACGAAUGACUUUAAACAGGUUGUUUUAAAAAAUGUAGAUAAAAAAAUGGCACAACGACCAGGCAACCGACAGACCAAUGGUAACGCUCAACAUGAUGCUACCACCAGCAUGCUUCACAGGAUGAUGAGCAGAACAUUUUGUGCAAAAGCCAAAACUUAUCAGACAUUGUUUUUUACAUGAAAUGUUUCUUUGGAUUUUGCCAUUUUGCACUGAAACACAUGGAGAAUGGACUUUAAAAUGAAAAUCAUUGCUAGUUUUGCUUUUGAUCUCGUAUCUCACGUAUUAGGGCCGUUCUGAUUCGUAGCCUUCAUGUGACCUCGAGGGACAAUGUGCAUGCAAUUAUCUCACUCCCAGGUGCCAGAUUAGUCACAGCCCACGGCAUGCACAUGAAAAUUUCUGCACCAUAGCACCAUCCUCACUUACCUGCAGAAUAAAUGCUACAGGAACAAUAGGCGUGAUUCUGCAAAGCUGACUGAAUGUCAGACAAAGAAGGAAUUGUCAAGAUUUCUCCCUGGACUCCCACAAACUGGUUUAUCACACACAAGGUUGUUUCCUGGCUGAGAUCCUGAUUAGAAACACAUUAGUAUCACAGUGUGGUACUGAUCAUCGUCUCACCACCCCGACGUCCGUCACAUAAACUGGUCACGGUGAAGGAUCAGGAGCAGCACUGGAUCCAAAUCAACAGAACUAAAUUUCUUAAAAAAUGCAAAGAUUAUGGAUUAUAAUGUUACAAACUUGUUCUAUCACAAUGUAAAGACACAAUGGUUGGACACGACGUCGAAAAUAGCAUAUCAUUUUCCAUAAAGGCUUCCAACCAAUAACAAACGAGCAGCAAAAUCGCUACACACAAGAAAUAUUUCAGUAUAAAUCUAUUUAAUGUGUUUCAUUGUGGAGACGGGUCAUCGUGUAUUAAACUAGUAAACAAGUACUAACUAAGUUACAGAGAUAGAAAGAAAACACCAAGGGACAGGAAAGUAAUCCACGACAGCGUGUGUGACCCGACAUUGUCAAUUAUAUUCGUAGAACAAAAAAAGGUUUUAUUCCAUGUUUUUUUUUUUGUUACAUUUAUUAUUAGAGUUUUAUUUUUAAUUCAUUCAGGAAUUUUGUUUUUAUCUACUUUAUUUAUAUAUAUAUAUUUUAUAUAUGUAUUUAUACAUUUUUUCCACACAGACGAGAAACCCUGUGUAGGUUCACACUCUUUAAAUCUUCCCUUCACCUGUCAGUAAUGUAAUCUGGGAUGGCCCGGUACCUGUCUUCACACUGAUCUACCUGUUUCAGAGUGAGUGAGAGAGUCACAUGAGGCUCCGCAGAGGGUUGCGUGUGAAGAGCCAGGCUGGUUUGUAGCAGCAAAGCUAAAAUAAGCAGGAGGAUGUGGUUCAGUCACGUCUGUGUCAGUCGCUGCUGUCCUGCCUCCCGCUUCCUGUUAUGAGUCUCUGAGGCGGGAGGAUCAGGGAGUGAAGAGAGAAGAUAAGAAAAAUCUCACCAGGAAACACGUCACCAUGAAGUGCGUCAUGGUUCAUCACACUUCAUCCAGAAGACUUUCAUUAUGUUAAUAACAAUAAACAGGAUCCUGGCCUGUUUGCUCAUGUCAGAUUUCCGGAAACGUUUCUGGAAUUCCUGGAGCCAAAGUCGCCGGAUUCCUCGGUACUACCUCGUGUUUUGGUGUUUGCUGCACUUUGGAUUUCCGUCCCACUCGCAGCGUAUGAGUCAGAAAGCAUGUGGUAUUCAAGGUCUGACUGCCUCACACAACACGGCUCCGCACACACUCCCGCCUCGCUGUGUUUAUCUUAAAGCCAUCUGACUUCUUGUCGCUGUAUUUUUUUUUUCUUUUUUUUUUUUUGAGAAUAGACACAGUGACAUAAGGAUUACUCCACCUCGCCUGGCACUUUGUCCCUUUACAAACACGUCCUUUCUACUCCGGUAUCUGCUCACCUUCCAGCUUCUGGAACGUCUCUCAUUAUUCUCCAGAAAUCUGCUCCUAUUAGCCCUAGGAAUCUAAACCUCACCGCCCCACAGUCCCUCGAGCCGCCGGGUGAUGUCACCUGAUCAUGUCACAGUCAUUAUUUUCGCUGCCUGACCUUUAAUCAUAAUAAUUAUUUGACCUCAUUUCAUUUCUUUGCUCCUUAGAGUUUUUUUUUUAAUGUAUUUAUUUUUAUACUUUUUUCUUCACUACAUUUCAGAACCAUCCUAGUUUCCCUCUACUACACUCUGCAGCAGGCCAAAUCUUUAAAUGACUGCUUUGGAGCAAAUAAAAUACCGAACUGACUCAAACAUCUGAAUACGACACACUUCCAUAUCGCAGCAGACGGAUCGCAGAUCAGAGAACAUUUUUACAGAUAUUGGUUUUACAGAUGUUUGUAGAAAUGUGUUUGGAAUAUUAGAAGAGAAGAAUAAAGACUCUUUUAUUUUCA